UACGUAGGUGGCGAGCGUUGUCCGGAUUUACUGGGCGUAAAGGGCGUGCAGGCGGUUUGUUAAGUGCAGGGUGAAAGCCCCCGGCUCAACUGGGGAGGGUCAUUCGAUACUGAUCGACUCGAAGGCAGGAGAGGGAAGUGGAAUUCCCGGUGUAGUGGUGAAAUGCGUAGAUAUCGGGAGGAACACCAGUGGCGAAGGCGACUUCCUGGCCUGUUCUUGACGCUGAGGCGCGAAAGCUAGGGGAGCAAACGGG
rnacentral:rRNA from 1 species